rnacentral:rRNA from 1 species
CCUACGGGUGGCAGCAGUGAGGAAUAUUGGUCAAUGGACGAGAGUCUGAACCAGCCAAGUAGCGUGAAGGAUGACUGCCCUAUGGGUUGUAAACUUCUUUUAUGUGGGAAUAAAACGUUCCACGUGUGGGAUUUUGUAUGUACCAUAUGAAUAAGGAUCGGCUAACUCCGUGCCAGCAGCCGCGGUAAUACGGAGGAUCCGAGCGUUAUCCGGAUUUAUUGGGUUUAAAGGGAGCGUAGGUGGCUUGUUAAGUGAGUUGUGAAAGUUUGCGGCUCAACCGUAAAAUUGCAGUUGAAACUGGCAGUCUUGAGUACAGUAGAGGUGGGCGGAAUUCGUGGUGUAGCGGUGAAAUGCUUAGAUAUCACGAAGAACUCCGAUUGCGAAGGCAGUUCACUGGACUGCAACUGACACUGAGGCUCGAAAGUGUGGGUAUCAAACAGGAUUAGAUACCCUAGUAGUC